CGUGGAAGAUGACCACGUUGAUAGGCUAUAGAUGUAAAGGCAGUAAUGUCAUAGUCGAGUAGUACUAAUAACCCGUAAGCUUAUGUAC
rnacentral:rRNA from 1 species